rnacentral:rRNA from 1 species
AGAGUUUGAUCCUGGCUCAGAACGAACGCUGGCGGCAGGCUUAACACAUGCAAGUCGAGCGCCCCGCAAGGGGAGCGGCAGACGGGUGAGUAACGCGUGGGAAUCUACCUAUCUCUACGGAACAACUCCGGGAAACUGGAGCUAAUACCGUAUACGUCCUUCGGGAGAAAGAUUUAUCGGAGAUGGAUGAGCCCGCGUUGGAUUAGCUAGUUGGUGGGGUAAUGGCCUACCAAGGCGACGAUCCAUAGCUGGUCUGAGAGGAUGAUCAGCCACACUGGGACUGAGACACGGCCCAGACUCCUACGGGAGGCAGCAGUGGGGAAUAUUGGACAAUGGGCGAAAGCCUGAUCCAGCCAUGCCGCUUCGUGAUGAAGGCCCUAGGGUUGUAAGCUCUUCAACGGUGAAGAUAAUGAC